rfam:Fibrobacter sp. TWOS genome assembly, contig: Ga0136287_144
GGAUGAUUAGCUCAGUUGGUAGAGCAGCUGACUCUUAAUCAGCGGGUCGCAGGUUCGAUCCCUGCAUCAUCCA